AUGAAUUUUUUUCCCCAGAAAUCGCCGGCUGGACAUCCAGAGCACCUAGCCUGUUUUUUUCUGCAUCUUGAAUUGAGCAUUAACAGGACUCUUGAAGCUCUGCCUGCAGCCGAACACAAAGACCUGGAGGAGACUCCCACAUCCUUCGGGGAGAAGAAAGGAGGCAGCGGCGCCGGUUCCGGGAGCUCGUGGCUCGUGGCCUUCGGGAGGGGGGAAGUGGAUCGCGGCGUUGGCGGCGGCGUUGGCGGCGGCGGGCGAGCCGUGAGAUGCGGCGGCGCCGCGGCGGCGCCUGCUGACACCCCGGUCCCCGGCGCCGGCCGCUGCCCUUUGUGCUUCGCGUACAUGUGUCAGCUCGGCGCAUCCGGAGGCGCGCGCACCGGAAUCCAACACGGCCG
rnacentral:lncRNA from 1 species